rnacentral:rRNA from 1 species
CCUACGGGAGGCCGCAGUGAGGAAUAUUGGUCAAUGGGCGUAAGCCUGAACCAGCCAAGCCGCGUGAGGGAUGAAGGUUCUACGGAUCGUAAACCUCUUUUUUAAGGGAAUAAAGUGUGGGACGAGUCCUGUUUUAAGUGUACCUUAUGAAUAAGCAUCGGCUAACUCCGUGCCAGCAGCCGCGGUAAUACGGCGGAUGCGAGCGUUAUCCGGAUUUAUUGGGUUUAAAGGGUGCGUAGGCGGGCUUGUAAGUCAGCGGGGAAAGUCCGGGGGUCAACCACUGUAGUGCCGUUGAAACUGGCGGGCUUGAGUAGGUGAGAGGCAGGCGGAAUGCGUGGUGUAGCGGUGAAAUGCUUAGAUAUCACGCAGAACCCCGAUUGCGAAGGCAGCCUGCCGGGCCAUGACUGACGCUGAGGCACGAAAGCGUGGGGAUCAAACAGGAUUAGAUACCCCAGUAGUC